CCUACGGGAGGCUGCAGUGGGGGAUAUUGGACAAUGGGGGAAACCCUGAUCCAGCGACGCCGCGUGAGUGAAGAAGUAUUUCGGUAUGUAAAGCUCUAUCAGCAGGGAAGAAAGAAAUGACGGUACCUGAGUAAGAAGCCCCGGCUAACUACGUGCCAGCAGCCGCGGGAAUACGUAGGGGGCAAGCGUUAUCCGGAAUUACUGGGUGUACAGGGAGCGUAGACGGUAAUGCAAGUCUGGAGUGAAAGGCGGGGGCCCAACCCCCGGACUGCUCUGGAAACUGUGUAACUGGAGUGCAGGAGAGGCAGGCGGAAUUCCUAGUGUAGCGGUGAAAUGCGUAGAUAUUAGGAGGAACACCAGUGGCGAAGGCGGCCUGCUGGACUGUAACUGACGUUGAGGCUCGAAAGCGUGGGGAGCGAACAGGAUUAGAUACCCCAGUAGUC
rnacentral:rRNA from 1 species